AAGUGUGACGCAGAACACUGAUAUUGGUUAUUUGCGUCGCUUUUUAAUAAAUAAGCGACGCAAAUAAUUAAGUCAUUUGCAUCUCUCUUUUAGUAACAAGUGACGCAAAUGAUUUUGUGAAUUAUUUGCGUAAUUAUUUGCGUAAUUAUUUGCGUCACUUGUUACUAAAAGUGAGACGCAAAUAACUAUUCCAAAACUGAAAAAAAAUAAAAAAAACCUUUCUAACUUUUCUUCUUUUCGCUAGAAUUUAUCAUCAACGUUCCCAAAACUUUUCUUCAUUCGUUCUUCUCAACAACAAUUCUUUCCCAGCAACAAUUCGUUCCCAGCAACUGAAUUCGAGCAAAAAUUCGAAGGUAAUUAAGCUACCUCCUUAUUCGUUCCCAGCAGCAGCAUAAGACGAAUUUUCGAGCAACAAACGCACAGCAAAUUCGAAGGUUUAAUUUGAACCCUAAUUUAGAGCAUAAACGAGCAAAUUUGAAGGUUUAUUUUGAGAGCAAAAAGAUGAGGAAAAGAUUUGGAUACAUAAGCAAAAACGAAGCUCUAUAUAAGGAAGUGGAGCAACUUAAGCACAAACUCGUAGAAAUUGAGAAGCUAGCAAAGGGACAAGGUAUAGCUGGUAUUUUCAACUUCAGAUUUUUUGGACAGUCAAGAACUGAAAAGUCAGCACAAGGAUACUUGCUAGCCUGAUCAACAAGAAAAGCAGCUGCUGAUUGCUCAAUUGCCUUUCCAUUUGGAGGAGGAAAGUUUUGGUUACCCAGACCAUCCGCCCCGUGAAUAGUUUUGUGCUUCAGGAAGACGAGUUUCAUCGGCUAGCAGAUUCCACCAUACAUCAUCUGCUCGAGAAACUCGAGGAUUUUUCAAGAUCUACACCGUACACAAAUGAGGAGAUAAACGAGGUUCGAGAUAUUUGGACAGUCUAUUUUGUAUGCAAUGUUGAACUUUAGAUCUACACUUACAAAACUCCAUUUACUUGUUAGACUCUUGUUCUAUUUGUUAAGAUUGACAUGAAUGUAUGUAUUUUGUUUACCAACAAUUUGGGUUGGUGUUGGUGAUUGUGUUGAAUGAUGACUAUAAUGUCAAUGGAAUUGAGUUGUAAAUUUAUUGGACAGGUUUUUGAUAUGAUGCCGUCAUUCCCAAUUUUAUGGGUAGGCCAAAUUA